rnacentral:rRNA from 1 species
AGUACAGUAGAGGUGGGCGGAAUUCGUGGUGUAGCGGUGAAAUGCUUAGAUAUCACGAAGAACUCCGAUUGCGAAGGCAGCUCACUGGACUGCAACUGACACUGAUGCUCGAAAGUGUGGGUAUCAAACAGGAUUAGAUACCCUGGUAGUCCACACAGUAAACGAUGAAUACUCGCUGUUUGCGAUAUACAGUAAGCGGCCAAGCGAAAGCAUUAAGUAUUCCACCUGGGGAGUACGCCGGCAACGGUGAAACUCAAAGGAAUUGACGGGGGCCCGCACAAGCGGAGGAACAUGUGGUUUAAUUCGAUGAUACGCGAGGAACCUUACCCGGGCUUAAAUUGCAGUGGAAUGAUGUGGAAACAUGUCAGUGAGCAAUCACCGCUGUGAAGGUGCUGCAUGGUUGUCGUCAGCUCGUGCCGUGAGGUGUCGGCUUAAGUGCCAUAACGAGCGCAACCCUUAUCUUCAGUUACUAACAGGUCAUGCUGAGGACUCUGGAGAGACUGCCGUCGUAAGAUGUGAGGAAGGUGGGGAUGACGUCAAAUCAGCACGGCCCUUACGUCCGGGGCUACACACGUGUUACAAUGGGGGGUACAGAAGGCAGCUAGCGGGUGACCGUAUGCUAAUCCCAAAAUCCUCUCUCAGUUCGGAUCGAAGUCUGCAACCCGACUUCGUGAAGCUGGAUUCGCUAGUAAUCGCGCAUCAGCCACGGCGCGGUGAAUACGUUCCCGGGCCUUGUACACACCGCCCGUCAAGCCAUGGGAGCCGGGGGUACCUGAAGUACGUAACCGCAAGGAUCGUCCUAGGGUAAAACUGGUGACUGGGGCUAAGUCGUAACAAGGUAACCA